rnacentral:rRNA from 1 species
UACGAAGGGGGCUAGCGUUGCUCGGAAUUACUGGGCGUAAAGGGAGCGUAGGUGGACAGUUUAGUCAGAGGUGAAAGCCCAGGGCUCAACCUUGGAAUUGCCUUUGAUACUGGCUGUCUUGAGUACGGAAGAGGUAUGUGGAACUCCGAGUGUAGAGGUGAAAUUCGUAGAUAUUGGGAAGAACACCGAUGGCGAAGGCAGCCAUCUGGACCGACACUGACGCUGAGGCGCGAAAGCGUGGGGAGCAAACAGG